GAUGAAGAACGCAGCGAAAUGCGAUAAGUAAUGUGAAUUGCAGAAUUCAGUGAAUCAUCGAAUCUUUGAACGCUCAUUGCGCCCCCUGGCAUUCCGGGGGGCAUGCCUGUUCGAGCGUCAUUACAACCCUCAAGCUCUGCUUGGUAUUGGGCUCUGCUGGGACCGGCAGGCCUUAAAAUCAGUGGCGGCGCCACUCGGCUUCAAGCGUAGUAAUUCUUCUCGCUUCGGAGACCCGGGUGCGUGCUAGCCAGCAACCCCCAACUUUCUUAGGUUGACCUCGGAUCAGGUAGGGAUACCCGCUGAACUUAAGCAUAUCAAAAGCGGAGGA
rnacentral:misc_RNA from 1 species